rnacentral:rRNA from 1 species
UAAGGAAUAUUGGACAAUGGAGGCAACUCUGAUCCAGCCAUGCCGCGUGAAGGAAUAAGGCCCUAUGGGUUGUAAACUUCUUUUAGACGGGACAAAACCCCUUUACGUGUAAAGGGUUGAUGGUACUGUCAGAAUAAGCAUCGGCUAACUUCGUGCCAGCAGCCGCGGUAAUACGAAGGAUGCAAGCGUUAUCCGGAAUUAUUGGGUUUAAAGGUUGCGUAUGCGGACUAAUAAGUCAGUGGUGAAAGCCUGCAGCUUAACUGCAGAAUUGGCAUUGAUACUGUUAGUCUUGAGUACGGUUGAGGUAGGCGGAAUGUGUCAUGUAGCGGUGAAAUGCUUGGAUAUGACACAGAACACCUAUUGCGAAUGCAGCUUGCGAAGCCGUAACUGACGCUGAGGCACGAAAGCGUUGGGAGCAAACA